rnacentral:rRNA from 1 species
CAGUCGCCGCGGUAAUACGUAGGGUGCGAGCGUUAAUCGGAACCACUGGGCGUAAAGCGUGCGCAGGCGGUUAUAUAAGACAGAUGUGAAAUCCCCGGGCUCAACCUGGGACCUGCAUUUGUGACUGUAUAGCUAGAGUACGGUAGAGGGGGAUGGAAUUCCGCGUGUAGCAGUGAAAUGCGUAGAUAUGCGGAGGAACACCGAUGGCGAAGGCAAUCCCCUGGACCUGUACUGACGCUCAUGCACGAAAGCGUGGGGAGCAAACAGGAUUAGAGACCCGCGUAGUCCCUGUCUCUUAUAC